AAAAUCAAGAGUCAGAUGCUCAACUGACUGAGCCACCCAGGUGCCUCCCAGUCCUUAUAUUCCUUUAUUACUUCCUUUUCAGACCGACUCCCUUACAAAUACGGUGGCCUUGUCUGUAUCGUGUGACCUCUCUGCAAUUGGCCCGCGGUGGAAUCCUGGGGGACGCCUACGCCGAAGGACUUGAAGUUGACCCCAGCUAAGACCGCUCAUUGUUAGCACCUACGCGUGGCCUCGGAGCGAGCCUGGGCCCCCUCACAGCAUGGUGGCUUCCGACACCCAGAUGGCGGCCGGAUGAGGGAAUGUUCCAGGCGGAAGUCCAAGCUGUCCUGGGGGACCGGCCACACACGCAGGCGAUCCAGACGUCGGCCGCUAGGUUCUGUCAACCCCGCCUUCGCUGGCGGGGAUCCGAGCGAGGUUCCACCGCCACGAGUGUUUACGGAGGGGACAGAUGGACCCGCUUCAAGUCCACUGAGCCAUGCUGCGCUCAGAGUUCUCAACAGUAAUCGUCCCAGGCCCUGGGAAGCCAGGGUUGCAGAAGUGGGGCCCUGGGGGUGUUGGGACGCACGCCGGCGACUGGCCAACAGGGCGGCGCUCUUUCGGAAACCGGGGGAAAGGUCCCCCCCACCCCCACCCCCACCCCGUUCCGGGCAAACUAAAAAAAAAUGAGCCAGGCCAAGGACACGGCUUGGAGAGGUGGUUGUCCGCGCUAUUUGAGGCGCGCUUGCCUCCUUGGCCAGGCGGCUUUGUGGAGCGAGCAGACAACCGAGUUCAAGGCUUCCCUGUUUUCCGUACGUACAUUGCGUCCUUCCUCCUCGGUAAGAGCGCCCCGCUUUUCCUCCUGUCCGCCGCCACAUCCUUCAGAGGAGGCUGAUCAACACCCCGGCUGAAGGGGGCAAAGAUUUAUUGAUUUGCAGCUAAGCCAAUCCCAGGGUCUUAUUCGCCUGGCCUUGUGUUGGGUCAGGCGGGCAUGUGAUACACUUCCGGCCAGUGAGCUAUGGGGGGGGGGGGGGGGGGCCAGUUGCAGGAGGGCUUUGGAAUGCGUCCCUCACUCUUCAAAAGGGACCGAAGAACGGACCUCUUUUUGGCUGCCUCCUGAAGAGGUUGCCUGCAUGUGACAGCCGGUUAUGUGGCAGCCGUUUUGGGAUCAUGGGGGUGGGGGGGGGUACGGGUGGGGAGCGGUCUGAGAGGAGUUGAUGGCAGUUGAACAAGAUGGACGGAACUGGGGUUCCCGGUGACAUCGCUGAGCCGCUGCCUCGACGAACCCCAGAGAUGUGCCGCCACCGCUCUUGUUGCGUGGGACACAGAAACGUGCUAUUUCAAGUCGG